GUCAACGUCCAUACCAUGCUGAAAGUACCGGUUCUCGUCUGAUCACCGAAGUCAAGCAGCAUUGGGCGCGGUUAGUACUUGGAUGGGUGACCGCUUGGGAACCCCGCGUGCUGUUGACACCC
rnacentral:rRNA from 1 species